rnacentral:rRNA from 1 species
CCUACGGGGGGCUGCAGUGGGGAAUUUUGGACAAUGGGGGCAACCCUGAUCCAGCCAUUCCGCGUGAGUGAAGAAGGCCUUCGGGUUGUAAAGCUCUUUCAGCAGGAACGAAACGGUGGUCCCUAAUACGGGCUACUAAUGACGGUACCUGAAGAAGAAGCACCGGCUAACUACGUGCCAGCAGCCGCGGUAAUACGUAGGGUGCGAGCGGGAAUCGGGAGUACUGAGCGUAAAGCAUGAGAAGGCGGUUAAAUCCCCGGGCUUAACCUGGGAACUGCGUUUGUGACUGUGGGACUGGAGUGUGGCAGAGGGGGGUGGAAUUCCACGUGUAGCAGUGAAAUGCGUAGAGAUGUGGAGGAACACCGAUGGCGAAGGCAGCCCCCUGGGUCAACACUGACGCUCAUGCACGAAAGCGUGGGGAGCAAACAGGAUUAGAUACCCUAGUAGUC